AUUGAACGCUGGCGGCAUGCCUUACACAUGCAAGUCGAACGGUAACAGGUCUUCGGAUGCUGACGAGUGGCGAACGGGUGAGUAAUACAUCGGAACGUGCCCGAGAGUGGGGGAUAACGAAGCGAAAGCUUUGCUAAUACCGCAUACGAUCUCAGGAUGAAAGCAGGGGACCGCAAGGCCUUGCGCUCACGGAGCGGCCGAUGGCAGAUUAGGUAGUUGGUGGGAUAAAAGCUUACCAAGCCGACGAUCUGUAGCUGGUCUGAGAGGACGACCAGCCACACUGGGACUGAGACACUGCCCAGACGCCUACGGGAGGCAGCAGUGGGGAAUUUUGGACAAUGGGCGCAAGCCUGAUCCAGCCAUGCCGCGUGCAGGAUGAAGGCCUUCGGGUUGUAAACUGCUUUUGUACGGAACGAAAAGACUCUGGUUAAUACCUGGGGUCCAUGACGGUACCGUAAGAAUAAGCACCGGCUAACUACGUGCCAGCCGCCGCCGUAAAAC
rnacentral:rRNA from 1 species